GGUAUUGUUUGGAAGGUAAACAGCCUAAUUCCUUUAUGUAAAGCCACCUUAACAUGUUUUUGCAUAAUUCUGACUCACGUUGGUUGCUAUCGGGCUUAAGCCAUAAAAAUCGAAGAAAAAAAGAAGAAGACGAAGAGACUUUCACUUGUCAUUUCAAUGUCACUUUCCGGCCCACAAGCAUAAACGCCACCGGCAACGGAAGUUCCCAAAAUCCAAACAAAUGUUGGAAGAUAUUUUUAAGUCUCCGCAUCUUUCUUACUUUCCUAUAUGAAAAUAAAAUGUAAGUAUCACAAUUACACACAUACAAGUUUUUUUUUUUAAUUCAGUUUCAUAAUUACCAAUUUUUAGUGAAUAAUCCUGAAAUUUAUGAAAAUACAUACAUUUUAAGGUUAUGUCAUAAUGUUUUGAUUGUUAUAUUUGAUUUUGUUUUUGUUAUUUUAGUGGACUACACCAACAAAGGUUAUGUGUUUUGCACCAGAUUGAAAGCAUCAUAGCGAAAAACGGACCUGUCAUAUCUUUAAAUUUUCAAAAGAGCCCCUGGAAAAAGAAAAAUGAAUAUCUUUGCCAAGGAAUAGGUACUAAGGCAAAUGGAUAAAAAACCUUCAGUCCAUGCAUUGGUAUGUAAUUGUUGACAAAAAUACAAUGAAUGGCCUCACUACUUUUCCACAUGCAAAGAGGUUAACCAAGGAGAAAUUAAAGAAAUUGUCAAAAACCUAGGUAAAUACAGAAUUGCUUAGUACAAACAUAUCUAUACCCAGUACAAGUUCGUCCACUUCUUUGAAGCAUGGUACUUCAAACAGAGACACUGUCAACAAUUUUGUAGAAGGUGAGCCGGUGUCAAAUUCCAGUAAGGGACAUGAUUUCAAUUUUGCACCAACAGCAGAGCUAAAAUUCAUUUUGUCGCAAAAAACUGGAGGAUGUGAAAGAAAAAAGUGCAGAAGUUAAAAUUAAGUUUUUCAUAUGAGCACAUAAAAAAUAAUCAUGACAAAGUUCAGUUGUAUACAGGUUUGACAUGUAAUAAAUAUUUUUGUAAUCUUAUUAAGUUAAUUAGUUUUAUAUAUUAUUUAAAUAAUAAUUGUAUACUUCACAUAGAAUAUGCAGAAAUUAUAUGUACAUAUAUAAAUUUUUUUAUUAAGAUAAGGACAACAUGUAUUAAAGCAUAACACAUAAUAUAAACACACACGUAAUAUCUUCAUUAAAAAUUCUGAUUGUAUGUUAUGUAGCAUUAGAGCCUAAAAACAUUAAGGAGAAUAAAGGUCGUUAUUGGCAAAUGACAAUAUUAUUUUCUCUAUUUCCUACAUUUUUGGUGAAGGGAAUAGGCUCUGCCCUAAAAAGCUAGGUUAAACCAAGAGCAAAAAAGUUUAGGUCUCAUGAGUGUAAGUAAAGUAAACCUUUCUAUUAAAAAGGCCAUCCAAGAUAAAAAAAAUAUACUAAAAAUAUUAAUGUUAAUUCUUUAGCGACAUCUAGGGUGGAUAUGCUGAAUCAACUCAUCAAUUAAUUCACUGUCGUACUGAUGAAAGUUAUGGCGUAUUCACCAAAGUAUGCAGAUAAUCGCUGAUUUCAAAAUAAUUUUAUUUGCGUUUUCAAAUUAUGCUUA